UCAGAUGGCCGGAUGGCUGCGGGACAUCCUGCAACGGAUGUGUCGAGGAAAGUCCGGGCUCCACGGAAACACGGUGACGGAUAACGUCCGCCCAGGGCGACCUGAGGGACAGCGCCACAGAAAUCACACCGCCUACCCGCGCGAGCGGCGGCAAGGUUGAAAUGGUGCGGUAAGAGCGCACCGCGUCUCUGGCAACAGAGACGGCAUGGCAAGCCCCACCGGGAGCAAGACCGAAUAGGGAUGGCAGUUGAUCGGUUUCCGGAUCGCCGUCCGGGUGGGUCGCGUGAGGCGCGCAGCAAUGCGCGUCCGAGAGGAAUGGCCAUCGCUUCACGCAUGUGAAGGCACAGAACCCGGCUUACAGGCCAUCUGACACU
rnacentral:RNase_P_RNA from 1 species